UAAGGUGCAUCUUGUGUAGUUA
rnacentral:miRNA from 2 species